UACAGAGGGUGCGAGCGUUGUCCGGAAUCACUGGGCGUAAAGGGCGCGUAGGUGGUGGCUUAAGCGUGCGGUGAAAGCUCGGGGCUCAACCCCGAGUCGGCCGUGCGAACUGGGCUCACUGGAGCAUAGUAGAGGCAGGUGGAAUUCCGGGUGUAGCGGUGGAAUGCGUAGAGAUCCGGAAGAACACCGGUGGCGAAGGCGGGUCUCUGGGCAGUAACUGACGUGAGGAGCGAAAGCGUGGGGAGCGAACAGG
rnacentral:rRNA from 1 species